GAUGAAGAACGCAGCGAAAUGCGAUAAUUAAUGUGAAUUGCAGAAUUUAGUGAAUCAUCGAAUCUUUGAACGCACAUUGCGCCCCUUGGUAUUCCGGGGGGCAUGCCUGUUCGAGCGUCAUUUCAACCCUCAAGCUCUGCUUGGUCUUGGGCCGCGCCGGCGACGGCGGGCCUCAAAAACAGUGGCGGCGCCAUCUGGUUCCUCAGCGUAGUAAUUCUUCUCGCUGUUGGGCCCGGGUGGCCGCUGGCCAGCAACCCCAAAUUUUCUAUGGUUGACCUCGGAUCAGGUAGGGAUACCCGCUGAACUUAAGCAUAUCAAAAGCGGAGGA
rnacentral:misc_RNA from 1 species